GUGACUGGCAGUGGGAAGGAGAGGGAGGAAGGUGAAGGUGGCUUGGGAAAUUGACCAGAAGAAUAACGGGUUUCGCACAAGGCUUCAAGUCUGGAGGAUGUCUCAAUACCUGGCACAGUGCCAGCAGAUGGAUGCUUAAGCGUGUCGGAGAGCGAGAGCGAGGAGGUUUUGGGCUCGAGGAAGGGGACUGGCGUGGGGGAAACAGGGCGAGCACCGGGCACAAUCUUGGGCUUAAAAACAUUGGCACGAGGUGCUCCAAAAGAAUCUGAGGCAAAAGUUCAGUGACACAAAAAAGGACGCAGACCACGUAAAAGAAGAGGAUUAGUCAGAGAGGCAAGAAAAGUGAGAACUUAAGAGAAACUAAGAGGAAACGAUUCUUCCCCAAAGCCAUCUUCAGGUUUCAUUCAGCGUCAAAUCAGAAACAGAUGUACAGUAAACAGUAAAAACUCUGUACCUUUCACAAGUACAUCAGGAGGAGAGGGAGGCUGAGGGAGGAAAGGAUCCGAUGGAGAAGACAGAGAAGCCCGAGGGAGUUUGAGCAGAGGAUAAUCAGAGGUCACUGGGCCCUCUGGAGGCCCCUCAGAGCCCGACAGCCUUCUUGGGAAAGACACUGGAGCUGGACACAAUUACAGAGGGGAAAGCAGAUGGAGAAACAAUAGGCUUGGUUUAGAAAUACACAGAUGCAUAAGUGCUGUUUUUACUAUUAUAUAAUGUUGUUUUUUUACUGGCAUUGAUGGAUUCAUGAAAACAUCCAUAGAACCAUUUA
rnacentral:lncRNA from 1 species